rnacentral:rRNA from 1 species
AACGAACGCUGGCGGCAUGCCUAACACAUGCAAGUCGAACGAGACCUUCGGGUCUAGUGGCGCACGGGUGCGUAACGCGUGGGAAUCUACCCUUGGGUUCGGAAUAACAGUUGGAAACGACUGCUAAUACCGGAUGAUGACGUAAGUCCAAAGAUUUAUCGCCCAAGGAUGAGCCCGCGUAGGAUUAGCUAGUUGGUGAGGUAAAGGCUCACCAAGGCGACGAUCCUUAGCUGGUCUGAGAGGAUGAUCAGCCACACUGGGACUGAGACACGGCCCAGACUCCUACGGGAGGCAGCAGUGGGGAAUAUUGGACAAUGGGCGAAAGCCUGAUCCAGCAAUGCCGCGUGAGUGAUGAAGGCCUUAGGGUUGUAAAGCUCUUUUACCCGGGAUGAUAAUGACAGUACCGGGAGAAUAAGCUCCGGCUAACUCCGUG